rnacentral:tRNA from 1 species
GCCCUCGUGGCGGAACUGGCAGACGCGCUAGCUUCAGGAGCUAGUAGCCGUACGGCUGUGGAGGUUCAAAUCCUCUCGGGGGCA